AACAGUGCACGGUUCUGCCAUCUACGGACGCGCCCACCUCACCUCCAUCCGCCUGUAGCCAUGGCCUGCCUCGAUCCUAGCUUGGAAGGUUCCCGAGAUCCCCGCCUCCCUACACCGAUCCGCCCACGGACGCGCCCACCUCACCUCCAUCCUCCCGUAGCCAUGGCCCGCCUUGAUCCCAGCUUGGAAGGUUCCUGAGAUCCCUGCCUCCCUACGCCGAUCCGCCCCUCGCGCCGCGUCUCUCUCGUUGCGUCCUUCCAUGGAUCCGACUCUUUGGAAGGUCCACACCACGAGCGCGCCUUCCAUGGAUGGAGACACCACGAGCCGCGUCGCCGCAUCCUAUCUGGUGCCAAGAAUCACGGACGCUGCUUCCUCCAUCCGCCCGGAUCCAACUCACCUUCCCUGCUCUCUGGUUCCGCGAAGAAUAUUGAACCGCGCCGCCUUUGGAAGGUCCACAACACGAGCGCGCCUUCCAUGGACAGAGACACCACGAUCCGCGCCGCCGCAUCCUCUCUGGUGCCAAGAAUCGCGGAUGCCGCUUCCCACCUGACCCAAUCGUCCGCAAUCUCCAUCUCCUGGCCCGCGUCGUUGCGUCCGCGCUCUCCUCCUGCCCCGCGGCAUUGCGUCCGCAAUCUCCUCCUCCUGCCGCGUCGUUGCUCUCGCGCUGAACAUGGUCUGCGCCGCUGCUCUCGCGCUGAACAUGUAAGGCAAGUCAGCUCCCAAAUCGGACCCGCGCUGAACAUGGACUGCGCCCAAAUCGGAUCCGCAAUUAUAAAUGUUCAGCGCGGCAUGCCAUAACAACCCAAGAUUAUUCACGACGCUCUCCAUACAUCUACUGCUGCCAGGUCCAAAACAUCUGCACUAGAACACCUAAAAAGAAGUCCGCCAAAGAUUUGAUAUUGGGUCGUGGAUAAAAGUUGAUUGAACUCCAAGCCAAUAAAUCAAAUCUACACAUUCAGGUACAUGAUCCUUUGUUAGUUUACCAGCUUUUUUGCUGCUCUAUCUCAUCACACUAGCCCUUUUUUCUACUAUCAGUUGUACUUCUUGAUUAUGUAUUUCAAUUGGCUGACAUGUUCAAGUGGAAAAAAUAUCUCUUUAAAACAAAAAAAACUCAACAGUUGCUGACAUACCCUAGUAUGAAUACAUCAAAUUAAAUCCAAAUGAUUAU